rnacentral:rRNA from 1 species
CGCCCGUCGCUCCUACCGAUUGGGUGUGCUGGUGAAGUGUUCGGAUUGGCGACCGGGGGCGGUUUCCGCCCUCGGCCGCCGAGAAGUUCAUUAAACCCUCCCACCUAGAGGAAGCAAAAGUCGUAACAAGGUUUCC